AAGCUGUGGGCCCUUGAAACCCAGGCUGUUGCAGAAGCUGGUCCUGAAGCGUGAUGGCAUUGCUGGGAUCUUUGGCACUAUGCAGUGUCGUCCCGUUCAAGCAUUGGUGUAGCUUACAAUGCCAAAAUUUGGCACAAUUCCUUCCAGGAUCUUCCAGACAUAUUACUGCAUACCUUUCCCGCCUUCUCUCCAGGGAGUAGAGUCUUAGCUGUUUCAACCUUUCCCAGUAGCUGAGCUGUUGCAAAGAGACGAUCUUCUUUGUGAAUCUUCUCUGGAUUGCUUCAAGGUCCGCUGUUAAUUUUACACUGGUGGGUGACCAUAGGUGACCAUAGCUGUGAUCUCUGGUUCUGAAUGUUCUUAGGAUCCACCCAGCCAGUCGUCUUCACUUUGUGAUCCUGAGUGCACUGGAAAGAGGUAUCAUCACUAAUGUCGAUACCCAGGUCCCUCACAGACUUAGGCUCUGGGAUUGAAAUUCCCUGUGGACCGGUGUAUCCUGUAAGUUUAAUAUUCAGUCUUGGAUGCUGGUAGCGCAGGGCCUGGAAUUUUUCAGCAUUAAACUGCAUAUUAUUAUCCUCAGCCCAUCUGUAGAUUGAGUCCAACUCCUGCUGCAGGUGUGCAACAUCGCUGGGGUUCUGUAUUUUCUGCGAGACUUUCGUAUUGUCUGCUUAGCUUGCCAGAGUGGCUAUCCGGGCAUUUGAGGGCAUAUCUGAGAGGGCCACUAUAAAAAGCAGUGGUCCCAAGACAGUGCCUUGUGGAACACUGCUCACUAUUUGUGUGUUCAUAGAGGUGGCUCCAUUAACCACUACUGCUUGGCUCCUAUCUUUCAGGAAGUCAUGCAACCACACUCCAAGUUUUCCAGCUAUGCCGAGGUCACGUAGUUUGUGGCAUAUCAUACCAUGAUCCACCUUGUCAAAAGCUUUUGCAAAAUCAAGGUAGAUUACAUCCACAUUUGAUUUGUUGAGUAACUGCCUCAAUAUCCAGUCAUAAUGUUGUAAGAGCUGGGUCAGGCAGCUCCUACCUGGUCGAAAACCAUGCUGGGUAUCACUCAGCAAGUUAUUUUCCUCAAGGAAUGCGAUUAGUUUCUUUCUGACUAUCCGUUCCAUGACUUUGCUGAUGUGUGAAGUCAGAGAGAUAGGCCUAUAGUUUUUGGCAUCUGCUCUACUUCCCCCUUUAUGUAUUGGGCAUAUUAUUCCCUCCUUCAGGUUGCUUGGCAGUUUGCCAUUCUCAAGAAAGCUCUGGAAGAGAAUCUUGAGGAGUUUUGCCAGGGCAUGCUCACACGCUUUGAGGAGGAUGGCUGGGAAACCAUCUGGACCAGCAGCUGAGUUUGUGUCCACUUCAUCUAUGGUUAGUAGGACAUCUUUUUCGCUAAUGUCAAUACAUUCUAUUGUAACCGCCUCGCUGGUUAUAGGUGAGGCGGCAAAGAAGUCCACUGGUUCGUUCACUUGUCUGUGUUCCAAUGGGGUGGUAAAGACACUUUUGAAUUGGUCAUUCAGCAUCUCACUGAUCUUAGUUGGACUGUCUGUGAGGGAGCCAUCCUUUUGGAGGAGGGGUCCUAUCUUGUAGUGCACUGAGACUGUUUCUUUUGCGUAAUGAAAGAAGGCCUUUGGGUUUGUUUAAUAUUUUUUAUAACCCAGGCUUCUUUGUCUGCUUUCUCCUUCACAUAGGAUUGUUGCAGCCUUUUUUCGAUCUCCAUCAGCGUUGUUUUUAGGCGGGACGUUUCGCUACUUUUAGGAUGUUGGUUGAGAUGAUUUGCAACCUUCGUCCUCUCAUGAGGAUCUUCCUGUCUCUUGGAAUCUUGCUCCUAUUUGUUUUGGCCUUGUGCUCUGGGACAUAUUUCUGGCAUACAGCUUGCACAGAAGGCAUGAAACAUUCUAGUUUCAUGUCAAUGUCUGGUGUGGAGAGACUUUCCGGCCAGUCCUCUCUGAGGAUCUCUUUUUGGAUCGAUUUCGAAUUUGCUUUGUGGAAGUUCAGAUUGGAGAGAUUUCGGGUGCUUCCUUUAGGCUGUAUGUCUCUGGUUACUUUUGGCCCAAACAUAGACAGCUCUAUUAUGUUGUGAUCCGAAACUGAUGUCGGUGUCACUUUCACAUCAUGAAUGAUGUCCAUAUUGUUCGUGAAGCAGAGAUCCAGAAUGUUGUUCGCCCUAGUUAGCUUGAGUACAACUUGCUCCAUGAAUAAGGCAUUGGUGAGGUUGAGCAGGGACUCCACCUGUACUUGCUUGCAAUGAUUCAUUCCUGAGAGUAUGUGAGCUUCGGGCCACUUGACGUUGAGGAAGUUGAAAUCACCCAUAAGAAAUAUGGUCACGUGGUGUUCCAGAUUCAUGAGGAUUUCUUUAAUUCUUGUGAGGCAAUCUUCAAACUUGCCUAUGUGAUUUGGGGCAUCCGGUGGGCAAUAUGUAUUGCAUAUGACUAUAUUAUGUUGUCUUAUGUAUACAAUUAAAGUGUCACAUACCGAAUUUGAGUAUGUCAUCUAGACCUGGGGUGUGAGGUCAUCUCGGAUGUAUACAGCAACUCCACCAUGGCUCCUUUCCCGUCUGUCUGUUCGCAGUAUGGCAUAGUUUGGUAUGUGUACUUCUGCGUCCUCUAUAUCAGGGCUGAGGUGAGUUUCCACGAGUGCUAUGCAUAGGGCUUGAUUGCAUGCAGUAAGAUCUCUCAGGAAAGAAAUUUUGUUUCUAUUUUGAUGCAACAGGCUCCCAAUAUUUAGUAAAAGUAUUGGGGUGACGGCUGUGCAGGCGUUAGGGGAGGCCAUCCCGUGUCUGUUGACUGUGGUGGUCUUGCAUAGUGGUGGGCAGGGUUCCUUCUCUGUGCUUGGUGUAGCCAGGUUAGCUGCCAGACAAUUCUUUGCGCCAUGCAUAAAAAAGACUCUUGCUCAGCUGCUGCGUUGCGCAGAACAUCUGAGGAGCGCACUUCGUUUUUGAAAGUUUUCCUGGAAGACAUUUCUUGUGUUCCCUCAGUAAAGCUCUUCUCUUUGAGUGCCCUGAAGUUCUGGCGGGGUGUUGUGUGGGCGAACCGGCAGUUUUUGCCGUCCUCACCAUGCCAACAUUUGCCCCGCAGGUAGAAUUUACAGGUUCUUCGGUGCCUUCUAGAUUUCUUCUUUCCUGAAGUGUACUGGGUGGCAUUGGAUCCUCCAUGGGGUUCUCUGCUGUUUGACUGGUGGGUUGGGGUUUCAGCUUUGGUUGUUUUGCCUUUUCCCUCCUUAUUUUUGUUUUCGGUCCUUCCUUUUUUCUUCCUUUUUUCUUCCUUUUUUCUUUUUUCUUCCUUUUUUCUUCUGUUUUUCUAAUUUCUCAUUUCUUUGUAGGACUACUGGUACAGGGGGGCUUCCGGUUUCUGCUCCCUUGGCUCCCCUAUCCUUCACUACCUGGUCGUUCACCUGGGUAGGUGAUCCAUUUUCCUGAGGAACCCCUGGAUCACAGAGACUUCCAGCUUCCUUCUCUUUUUUGUCUUCUUCAUCCUCAUCAGCCUUGCCACAAUAAUUUUCAAUUAUGUUAUCCAGUGUUUUGAUGUGUGGUCUUAUAAGCAUGUAAGACCGGAUAAAUUCACCUUUUUCCUGUUCUAUCUAGUCAAUGGUUCUAUGAAAUCCAUUGUUCUUUAGCUCGACAGUGAUGAUGUUGUUUGGCGGAUCGCCACUAGCAAUCGUCCAUGCUCUGAGCAGAAGAUUUAACUCUUUCUUUUCCCACUUUGGUGCCAUCUUCGUUUUGAGGUCCAGAGGGGGAGUAGAGGCUACAGAGGUAAUGAGGGAUAGAGAGAGAUAGAGACGGAGAAACACAGAGGGGGGAAAUAGGGAAAGAGAGGAGGAGAUAGGAAGGAAAGAGAGAGGUGCUAUGAAAGAAAUCGAGAGGGUGAUAGGAGGAAAGCAAGGGGGUGUGGUGUUAAAGAGAUAGAGGAAGGUAGGGGAGGGGAGAGGAGGGGAAUAGAAGGAGAGACAGAGUGAAGGAAAAGAGGGGAAGAGAAAGAGAGGCAGAGUGAAGGAGAGGAGGGGAAGAGAAAGAGAAACAGGGAGGGAGAGGAUAGCAAGAGAAAGAGAGACAGGAUGAAGGAUGUGAGAGAGAGGGAGAGACGGAGUGAGAAGAAUGGGCGAAUGAGAAGUAUAUGAGAGAGAGGGUGAGGUGACGAGAGGAGAGGUAGAUGUGAGAUGGAAAGGAAAGAGAAAUGAGAGAAGAGGAGGAUAUGAAAGGGAGGAGGAGAGAUGAGAAAAAGAGUAAGAUAUGCAAGAGAGAGGGAAAGGGUAAGCAUAAAGAGAGAUAAAGGAAGGGAGAAAGGAGCUGGAAGUGGGGGAAUAUAUGUAAGGGAGGAGAGAGGAGGUAGAAGAGGGUGAGGAAAUGAAGGAAUUAUUUAAUUCUAAACUAAUUACAGGAAAAUAAACAUAUGAAAAGAAUUUUUUAAUAUUAGUUUUAUAGAAAUGAAAUUAAAGGUAGAUUGAAAGCGAAACAGAAUUCGAAAGAAAGUUAUUCUCAGAAUGUAAACAAAGAUGGCAUCGUAAAUCGUAACUGAGAUGUUAGCUUAUAUUAAAGGAAAAUAAAAGAUUAAUAAUCAAACAACUGGAAGCGAUACUUAUCGUAAAAGGUACAGUUCAAACCCUCGUGCUUGUACGAAGAAGUUUUCUUUCACAACAGAAAAGAAAACAAUUCUUUUUCCUUCUUACAUUUAGCUGGAGAUAAAUUAAAGACUUGCCACCACGUGCUUUUAUGGCGAAGAAUCUAGCAUGCAUAACUAACUUUACCGUAUUAUAUUUGGCUUCAAGCGAAAUAUAUUACGUUUUUAAUUAAUAUAUUUUUAAUUAAUGUAUUUUAGUAGAUUUUAUGAGUUAACAAGUUCUACGUUUUGUUACUUUUAGUAGAUUAUUUCAUUGAUUUAUGCAAACCUUUUUGUUUUUUUCACAGAGCAAAAGCAAACACGUCUUUCCUCUACAAAAACCGGAAGUAUAUAUCGAUUUUUGUUCCUCGGUUUUUGGAAAAACUGUGAAGAAUUAGUGCCAAAAUCAGAUUAGGAACCACUGCUCUAGACUCAUUUCAUAUAUAAAUGUCCCUUAGAAUUAUUGAAGUGUUAUGUUUCUGAAAUUCUAUUUGUACAAUGGAAUUCUGUAAUGCAAAGACUCAUUUUCUCAUUGAUUUCUGUCUGUUUUGAGUCAUAGAAUCCCAUGUUCUGAUAAGAUUUUCAGGAAUACAGCACUUCCAUAACAUGGCAGAUGCCUAUAUUGAAUGAAACUCUUACUUACAGGAAAUUUGGCAGGAACGGUUUAGUUCACUACUGUUUUUUACUUUAUCCUUAUAUUAUCUGUGGAGCUGUAUUUUAAAAAUAAACCAUUUUUCCCUUCUAUCUUUUCAGAUUUUCAAAGAAUUAUUCUGUGACAUAGAGUAUCGUGACAGUUCUUAUGAACUAAGGGAAUAGCAUCUGUCCUUCAACAUGGAAAUACUGAUAACACCAACCUAAAUAUUUCAUAGAAAUAUUUCUUUUUUUUUUGUUACAUUCAAACACACACGUUACAUGCAUACAUACAUACAUACAUACAUACAUAUCUUCUGCUUUUCUCUAUCUUUUGUAUUCUUCUUCAAUAACCAUUCAGGCUGCCGUUUCACUGAUAAAAGAUAUAGAUUUUUAAGUAAGUGAAAUUAAAUACACAUUGCUGACUUGUCUUUAUGUAAGUGUCUUAAUAUUUCAUCAAAUGUGUCUGAAAAAUCAAUAACUGCCCUUUAUAUAUAUCUCUUCUGUACACUCCCGCCUCUCUUUAUUUACCCAAUCUUUCUAUCUAUCUAUUUUUCUAUGUACCUAAUCUCACUCCUCUAUCUAUCUGUCUAGCUAACUAGCUAGUUAAUCUACAUUAUCUAUCUAUCUAUCUAUCUAUCUAUCUAUCUAUCUAUCUAAUCUACAUUAUCUAUCUAUCUAUCUAUCUAUCUAAUCUACAUUAUCUAUCUAUCUAUCUAUAUAUCUAUCUAAUCUACAUUAUCUAUCUACCUAUUUAUCUAUCCCUUUUCUCUUAUAUAUUUAUAUAUAGAAGAUUAUAUCUCUGUAUCAGUGCAGUUGGAUAUGUUGUGAAUAGAUUUAUGCAAAAAUAAAAGAAUAAAAAAAAUUCUCAAAACCAAGGAAAGCAAAAGGAAGGUUCUUUUAUUCCAUUAAAAAACAAAAUCAAACAAAAAAAAAAACCUUUCCCUUAACAAAUAACAUUUAAAUCACAGUAGGGAAUGGCUGCUGUCAAAUUCACAAGCAAUAAUUUCUUGAGAGGAGAUGCUUAAGAUUAGGAGACAUCCCAAAAUGUAAAAAAAGUAAAUGUAAAGAAAAAAAAGAAUAAGGAGAGGUAGAGCAAGAACUCUCUCCCUACUCUUUGAAAAAAAAAAAAAGAAAUAUAUACAAGGAGCAGAACAUAAAUGAAAAUCAGAAUAAAAGAGAAAUAUAUAAAAACGGAAAGAACAAGAACAAAAACGCCAGAAUCCUCUGCAGUUGGAAGGGAGACAAUUCUGGCUUAACUUAAACGUUUGAAAAUUUAAAGUUUUUGUUGGCUUUUUGUUUUUUUUAAACGAAGAAAUAUCAAAAACGAAAAAAUGUCUUCUAUCAUAUUAUAUUGAAUCAAAGGAAAUUCAUACAUUUCUAAUUCUCUUUUAGUUUCCUAAAAAAAGAUACGAAAAGAAAAAAGCCUGCCUCUCUCUCACUCUCUCUUCUUCCAAAUAAUGACUGAACAGUUGCUAAGUAUAUCCUUUAAUGUAUCUUAGCAAGUGUUUAGCCCAUUGCUAUGUACAAAGAAGGAAAAAAGUAAAAUACAAAACAAACAGGGACAAAAACCAAACCAAACCAAAGAAACCAACCCUGAUAAAUGAUUCACGUUGUCUUUCCUACAACGUGUAAUACCAACAUGGAUCAGACAAAAACCUUGCAAUAGUGGCCUUUGUUUUUUUUUGUUUUUUUUCUUUUGGAGUAAGAAGAAAAAGUUUGAAAUAUUUUUUUAGAAACAAACUUCAAUAUAUUCAGCUGUAAACAAAUUUAUUUCUAAGAAGAAAAAAAAAGAAAGAAAAGUAAAA
rnacentral:lncRNA from 1 species